rnacentral:rRNA from 1 species
UACAGAGGGGGCAAGCGUUGUUCGGAAUUACUGGGCGUAAAGGGCGCGUAGGCGGCCUUCUAAGUCGAACGUGAAAUCCCUGGGCUCAACCCAGGAACUGCGUCCGAUACUGGAAGGCUUGAAUUCGGGAGAGGGAUGCAGAAUUCCAGGUGUAGCGGUGAAAUGCGUAGAUAUCUGGAGGAAUACCGGUGGCGAAGGCGGCAUCCUGGACCGAGAUUGACACUGAUGAGCGAAAGCUAGGGGAGCAAACGGG